GGUGUCAAUGACGCUUAGGAUCCACCUGUUCCCAUCCCGAACACAGAAGUUAAGCUAAGCGGUGCCGAAGAUACUUGGCGGGUGACCGCCUGGAAAAAUAGGUCGAUGCCA
rnacentral:rRNA from 1 species